rnacentral:misc_RNA from 1 species
UAAAAAAGCAUUUUCUGGUAGUGCUUUGAUCUUGACUCAUAUGGAUGGUAAAGAAUUAUCAAAACUAGUAAAUGCAGACACUGUAAAGAGGUCCUCUGCUUAAAAAAAAUAUGAGAGUGAAAACUUGAAAGGGCACUCUUAGCAAAAUGAGGGAAGGAAGGCGAAAAUCCAUAAGGGCGCUUUCUGCAAAAGAAGGGAAAGAUGAAAAUCUGAAAAGGCAUCCUGAAAAGGAG